UAAAAAGUACGUGAAAUUGUUGAAAGGGAAGCGUUUAUGACCAGACUUGGGCUUGGUUAAUCAUCUGGGGUUCUCCCCAGUGCACUUUUCCAGUCCAGGCCAGCAUCAGUUUUCCCCGGGGGAUAAAGGCGGCGGGAAUGUGGCUCUCUUCGGGGAGUGUUAUAGCCCACCGUGUAAUACCCUGGGGGGGACUGAGGUUCGCGCAUCUGCAAGGAUGCUGGCGUAAUGGUCAUCAACGACCCGUCUU
rnacentral:rRNA from 1 species